CCCUCGAUAGCUCAGUUGGAAGAGCGAGAGACUGUAAUUGGCUGUAUAGCUCCUUGACCUUGUGAAAGGUUGGCGAGUGAAAAAGAUCAUCUCUAGGUCACUGGUUCGAUCCCGGUUCGAGGGA